UCUUUACUGUUGUUGACACAAUGCCCUGCCCAAGGGAAGGGAGAGAGAAAGGGACAGUCGCUGGCAAUUUGUCCUGAAACUCACUUCCAGCCAACUGAGAAUUCCCAGCUGCCAAAUACCAGCUCCCUGCAGAGCAUCUUCUGGUUCUCUGAGAGCGAGGUAGCAGCGAGGAGGCUUCCUGAAAUACAUUAAAACAUAAUCUGAAAUGCAAUAUACCCUUUCAGGAGGAACAAGUUCACACACUGAAUCAUUUCCCAGGAAGAAAUAAGCAGAAGAGAGGGAAUAAGAGAGGAUGACAGAAUGAAUAUCAGCAAAAUAUAAGUCUACACAGCGAUGAAGCAUCAGAAAACUGUAACACCCCCAGGAGCUGACAGCGAGUCUCAUCAGGAAGUACAUACCAGGAUGCAAUGUUCCAGAAAGGAAACAUCACGUCCAGGCAGCUGAUGAAGGAUAAUCCAUUACAGCUCCAAUACCCCAUGCCAGAAGACAGGUUUUCUUCCGCACUCGAGGCUUAGGUUCCUCAUAGAGCUUUGGUGAGGUCAAGGAGCAGCAACAGCAGGUCUAAACUGAGGUAAGUAUGUUUGGGCAUUUCUGGCUCCAUGAGGUCAAUCCUUGCUCACCUUGCUGUGAACUGCACGAGACACACAGUUAUAUAAGUUAAUAUCAGUCUGGGACGCACCAGAGAUGCUAGUUUGGAAAUGUCUUUGAUGGCUAGAAAACCUACUAUGUAUUCAUCCAUCUAUCCAUCCUUCUGUUCUCUUCCCACACCCACCUCUAUCAAACCCAGAACUAGACAAGUGCUCUACCACUGAGGUAUACCCCCAGCUUACACAAAACUUCUUUAUUGGCCUUGUUCUUGGGAAAAUGUUGGCUAUAAUUCACGCAGGUACACAUAGCAUAGACCCAUUUUGACAUCGUUGUUAUGUCCUCUUGAAGUGAGAAUCAAAGAGAGAUGCAAUCAUUUUUAGGAGGGUUUUUGCUUGGUGUUGCCUAAUGUCUUUCAAAUCCAGUUUUAAACCUGUCUCAGGAAACUCUCUGCAGUUGCCUAAAUCAAGCCCAGAUCAUCCCCCAGCUUCACACCGUGGACUCUAAGCUUGUGGAUUAAAAGAAAGGCUGUCCGGGAACUCUUCUCCACCUGCAGAUACCACAGUCUAGAUCCAUCUUUCCCCAGAAAGAAAGCAUCAACAUUGUCUGAAAACCAGAAUGGCCUAAUGGCAUGAGCGGUCUCUCAAAUUCCACUUCCUCUGUAAUUGCUAAGCCUAAGCACAGCUGUCCAAACCUCCUAGCACUGGCUCUAAAACUGUAGGGUGAGCUGGCACACAGGUGCAUACCUGUAAGUCCAACUGCACGAGCCAGGAUUUGAGGCCAGUCUGAACAGCAUAGUGGUAACCCACUUCCAAAUGGUGUCGUACCAACAUUAAGAUGAGGCCAACAGAAGGUGUGAUUGGUGCCUUCUCCCGUGGAAAAUGUAACGAUGCAAGGGCUCUUGGGGUUAUUGGUGGUUAUGUUUUUUAACCUUUCCUAGAAGGAAGUAGGAUGAGUUCACCAGAAGCCUGAGUCUGAAGUGCUUGCCUAUGGGGCUGGCUUGGUUAGGAUUUCUUCUGUGGGAAUCUUCUAGAAAAAGCAGUUCAGGGGUUAGAGGUGCAAUUCAGUAGAACAUUUUUCUAAGAUACACAAAGUCCUGGGUUGUGAGAGAGAAUGAGAAACAGCAAGAAAGAGAAACACACUCACACAUACAGAGAGAGAGAGAGAGAGAGAGAGAGAGAGAGAGAGAGAGAUUAUUAUUAUUAUUAUUAUUUUUUUGGUUUUUCGAGACAGGGUUUCUCUGUGGCUUUGGAGCCUGUCCUGAAACUAGCUCUGUAGACCAGGGUGGCCUCGAACUCACAAAGAUCCGCCUGCCUCUGCCUCCCAAGUGCUGGGAUUAAAGGCGUGCGCCACCAUCGCCCGGCUGAGAGAGAGAUUUUUUAACGUCAAUUUCUGAAAUAGUUCAGGAGAGGCUGUGACUCAGAAAAGUUAAUUAAAUACCCUUUCAAAGUUUUUGCAGCCAUGCUUUUGAAAUAGUGCCUUACGUAUUUCCUUCUUUCUCAUUUCGGAGACAUCCAGGAAGGCUCUGGGGACACGGUCAUUCUACUCAAGUCCUGCCAAAAGCAAUUGUAAGAAAAGAAGCCACUUGAUUGGGUCAAGAGGAAUAAUUACACUGCCUAAAAAUAAGCCGAGUCUAAGGGGAGAAAAUGAAAAGCUCCACAGAGACGGUGGCCCGCGCUUCCUCUCUGGCCCCCUUUCAUCACCGUGGAGCCUGCUCUAAUAGCCUGUCAUUUCAAGCCAGAUGAUUCAGAGGCCUGGCCACGGCCUAGAGUGUUUCAUCUGUGGCCAUUCAUCCUGCCGAGGAAGAAAUGGGCCUUUAGUCAUGCAGAGAAAAGCUAUAACCUCCUGACCCGUGACCAGUCAAAAGAUGUUGGUCCACUGCGUUUACCUGCGUGCGGGAGCUGGCGGAGUUGGAGCUGGCAGAGUUGGACCUGGCCCUGAAGGGGUGUGGCUUAUUUCUGAUGGUCCAACAGAACAGACUCUUUCAAAUUUUGCCUAUCAAGACCAAAACUGAAGCAUGAGAAUCUAUCGUUGUGACUUCCCUCUUCCUGUGCCCUAUGACUGCCUUCCCUAGCUGGAGUGUAAGGGAAUGAAUUAGCUGGUUUUGGGGUGGGAGAAUUAUGAAUUAUGAGGUCGCCAUACAGCAUCUUCCUCAUUAAUUAAGAGGAAGCCCAGCAUUCUCUCAGACCUAUUUUCUGAUUGAGUCAGCAGACCCCACCUAGAAUCUGACCUCUUCCCUGAGCAGAUAACCACAGAGAAAAAUGGCUUCCGGGAGGCUCGUGUUCACCUGCUGCUAGAUGUCUGCCUCACCCAGUGCUGGCCUCUCGGAUCAGAACUUUUUGUCUGCUCCUCCCCUUGAGUUUUCUCUCUGCAGUAGCUAACCCAGUUUUGAUCUCUAGCCACAGCGCAUGCCUUAACCUUUGUUUUGCAUGCCCACAGCUUGCCUUCACCUCAGUUCUUCCUUCUUACCUUUGGGCUCCUGGACCCAGUCAGUCCUUACUAUGUGAGGACAGUGGAGGCACCGUUAGUCUGAAACAGUGAAGCCCAGCGUUCGUGAUUAACGAGGAGAGACUAGCCAAGGUUCAGUGAGCAUGCAACUGCUCACAUGAAGGCAUACGUUUCCUUAUUAUGUAUACAAACUUCAUUUUCCUUAUUACAUAUACAAGCUUCAGAAAUCACAGGCAGUAUUCAGACUAAAAGGGGACAGACUUUUCAGUCUCAGGACAUACAAGCAAAGCAUAUUCCUUAAAAAUGUGUGUUUCCUCCCAAGGCAGGAUUAUGCAGUCACCUCUUGCUGUGCCAACAAUGCCACCCAAUGCCCUAAGGCAUUAAACUUGAGUUCCUUUAAGACCUGAGUGCUAGGAAGCUACAAGAAGUGCACAGAUUCUAGGAAACUGCCCUUUACAAACACAAAUGCCCGGGGUGAACAAUCGCGCAUGUGUCUCCAUGGUUGUGCUCUUGUUUUAGGUGUCCAAAUGUGUUAGGCUGUCUGAAAUAACAAAGGUAGUUUGGAGAAAAAUGGUUAGACGGAAUGUUCCAGAAGGAAUGUUCCAAUGGGAACAGAAGGCUUGGCUGGAAAACUUGCCCAGGCACUGAUCAGAUGGCCUCCAAAUUCUUUCUAAAACAGGGAGAGGUGCUUCUAGAUCAUACUCAGGGCCAGAAAAUACCUCAGAUGUUACUCAGUUCAACCACUAAACUUUCGGAGACAGAGAGGCUUCCUGGUUACCAACCUGCACCCUUUCUGGAGAGAUCUUAGUAGGGCAAAGGCUUCUGUGUUUUAAGCAGAUGCCCUCCUUUUGGCUCCACACAAAUUCUAGACUUUCACAUGGCAUCACCCAAACACACCCCUUCAAGCCAGGUGAAGUUUUGCAGUUCCCUCCUGGGUUCCAGGUUCAAACAUUGUGUCAUCUCUGGCGUCCCCAUUCCUCACCUGAAGUUCUCCACCUCUUCUUCCUUUCUGGCAUAAGCUGUCAUUGUCCUUGUCAAAGGGUCGGGUAGAGGAGACCACAGAGUUCACUGACAAACACCAAGAAUAGAGAAACCAUUUCCAAGCACACUUCUUCCAUGUUCUGAGCGUCAUGCUCUUAUUAAUGUAGCCCACAAUGUGUUCGUGCUAUUUGAGGGGAGGUCAUAUCAUAUCAUUGAGUUAUUUUGAUCUUCUUCCCCUUAUGUGAUGCUUCUUUCCCCUGUAUAGAGAUUAAACAGUCAUUCUUGAAUCCUAUGCCCUUUGAUUGCUGGUUUCUUUCUGAGUGUAGAACUUUGCACUUUACCUCUGUUGGAGUUCAUCUUGUUAGUGUUGAAAACCCUAUAAGAAGAGUUCAAGGCAAAGAGAAUGUAAUAAUGACCUUCAAGGAAGAAGAAACAAGAAAUAGUUCCAAAAAAGCAGAAGGCUCUUGGGCUCUUGUUUGUUUUCUGUUGUUGGAAUAAACAACAUGGCCAAAAGCAACUCAGGAAGGGAAGGGUUUAUUUCAGCUUACAGGAUAUAUAUAUAUGUGUGUGUGUGUGCGUGUGUGUGUGUGUGUGUGUGUGUGUAUCUGUGUGUGUUCAGGAACACCUAACAUUUAACAAGAAAAAGCUAUAAGGAAAAGGUUUUGAAAGUUAACAGAGAAAGAAAUAAGGCAAAUUGGAGAUAUAAUAAUCCCAGGAAAUUUCUCAGAACAGAAAGUUUUCAGUUAUCAAAUGAAAAGGGUCCACACAAUGCCCAGAACAAUAACUUUUUAAAAGGACCACAUUCUAUACCCAUAUAAUCUCACCAACAUGGCUACCUAAAUACCCGCUGGACAAGGACCAUCAUAGGCAUGCAUGUCCAAAGAGCACAGGGUAAGGACCAGAACGCCUCAACCCUACACAGACAGCCAGAGGCCGCUAAGGAAUGCUGAGCGAGCAGGAUAAAUAGUCUUCUGCAAGGAGGAGCACACCAUGGUUAUCCAGCACCAAUGGAAAGACAGAGGAUAACAUUCGGUAGCAGUAAGAAGGAAGAUGACACAUUAGGUUACAUUGGACACAAUCAUCUCUGCAUAUGGACCUAUGCUGUAGAGUAAAUCAGAAAUUAAUUAAAAUAACUAUUUCCAUUUAAAAAGAAAAAGAACAGACAGACACACACACACACACACACACACACACACACACACACAGAGAACCCACAUCUACUCAGGACACCAGAGAUAAAGGGAAGAUGGUAAAAGUUGCAGAAUAGAGAGUAGGUGACAAAGAAUCCAAAGAUAGAAUGCUUUAGGAACUGGGAGAGCAGAGCUCGGCUUUCUGAAAUCUGAGAGAAAAUUAUCUGUGGCUCAAAAUUCUAUCUUAUACAUCAACUUAAUAUAAAUCCAGACGGCUGGGGAGAUGGCUUAGUGGCUAAGAGUGCUUAUUAUUGUUCUUGCAGAAGACCCAAGUUUGAUUUCCAGCACCCACACCGGCCCCUCACAACUGCCCAUAACUCGGUUCCAGAGAAUCUGACACCCUCUGUGCUCUGUGAGCCCCUGCACACAUGUAGUGCACAGAAAAUCAUGCAGGCACACAUACAUACAUGCAAAUGAAAACAAAAUUUUAAAAUGAUCUUAGAUAUAAAGCCAGAAUGAAGAUGCUUUCUGUUUUCACACAUGAAUUGCCUGAACUUACACCCUGACCCUCGUUUCUCAGAAAGCUAGUACAGAACAUUUGUCAGCAAAAUGAGGAGGCAACAGAAGAAGACGGAAGAAAUAAGACUCAAUUCAAGACACAGGCACAGAGUUUUUGCUAGGAUCAUGCUGAGGAAGUGUCCUGGGAAGAGAGCCAUCUAGGAGGCUCAGAGAGCAGCCAAGACAGGGCAGAGCAAGAGGGAGAACACAGGAAAGAUUUCUCUAAGAAGACGAAAAUGAGAAAUUAGUGCUAAGUCUGAGCCAGCGGGGAGAGGAUUUAGACAACCAUGGGGAGUUUGUGGUUAAAUUAAUUACACUUUUAGAAGACAUUAAGGGAAGAAGAACACAGCAAUUAUUAACCUCAGGGAAAAUAAAAUGUUGUGUAAGAAGGGGCAAGUGAUCACAGUGUGCCACGUGGCUUGUCUGAAACUGUCAUUUACAGGGUUACAUGAAAUCUUGGCCCCAGCCAGAGUGGGCCGGGAUUGGUCCAGAUUCGUGCUGGUUCAGAUUCAUGCUGGGAUGCGAAUGAUGGUACAUACAUAUGCAGAUGGUCAUGUUGACAAGGGGCAGUGGUGAAACUGAACUUGAAGUUUCUCUUUCAUGGUAGAAAGUUAAUUAUGUUCAAAAUAGAAAUGCUAAGGAAUAACAGUAUAUCCAUGGUAUUUAGAAAAAGGAAGGCGGGGCUGGGAGUAGUUCAGUGGGAGAACAAAUUCUUAGUGUGGUUAAGGCCUGGAGCCACCAAAAAAAAAUAUAAAGAUUUACAAACUUUCUCUGGCUGGAGAAGCAUGUUUGGUAGAGAGCUGUGUAGAUUACUUGACUGCACUUGCACAAUACCUACAAUAAAGUUUCUUAAACUAA